rnacentral:snRNA from 1 species
AUAGAAGCCAAUAUACUAAUACAGGACAAGGAACGAUACAGAGAAGAUUAACAUGGCCCCUGCGCAAGGAUGACACGCACAAAUCGAGAAAUGGAUAUACUAAUA